GUAUCUUUGGUCUGUGUUAAUACUCCUUCAAUGCUAUUCAGUUUUUCAUUAAUUUGACUCAUUCCAUCUUUCAUUCCACUCAUUCCAUCUUUUAUUCCACUCAUUCCAUCUUUCAUUUCACUCAUUUCAUCUAUAACCUUGCUUUCAAGAAACAUAUGAUAGUCAUUUCUCUCACGACUGAUGUUUUCUUUGAGUUUUUGUACUGCCUUUGUAGGAAAAUCCGAUUCUUUCAAAUUGCCAAUCCUCUCCAGAGAUGUCGUGCUAAAAUUCAAAGCAGUGAAUGCAUCUUUGGCGUGUUUGACAUAGUCA